rnacentral:rRNA from 1 species
GACAGAGGUGCCGAGCGUUAGGCGGAAUCACUGGGCUUAAAGCGUGUGUAGGCGGAUUGGUAAGUACCUUGUGAAAUCCCACGGCUUAACCGUGGAACUGCUUGGUAUACUGCUUAUCUUGGGCCACUUAGGGGCUACCGGAACAAACGGUGGAGCGGUGAAAUGCGUAGAUAUCAUCAGGAACGCCGAUGGUGAAGACAGGUGACUGGGCUAGUUCUGACACUGAGGCACGAAAGCGUGGGGAGCGAACGGG